rnacentral:lncRNA from 1 species
CCAGUGUUCUCCUCUGUUGGCCCCUCUUCCAUUUCUGGAUUUCCAGAGGAUGUUUUUCUAAAGACCUGUGAUUCGUACAUGCCAAAUCAGCAGGUGAGAUCCUAUUGAGCAUCCUAAGGUCUGACAGUCCUAUCAAUCAUAACAAAACUGCCUCAGGGGCUGAGUAAGGACUUGCAAGACAUCUUGCCCGAGAUCUAACUCUGCUAUGAAGAAAAGGGAAGCAAGCACUUGUCCUCCCUCGAGGAGCACUCCAGCCAUGAGGCUAUCACAGAAAAAGACGUGUUACACUCCUACUCGCCACUCCUUCCUUCAGGUAACAUUUCAAAAGUGAUAACUGGAACAGCUGUCUGUGGCACAUUGAAUGUAACUGGA